GGGGCUGUAGCUCAGUGGUAGAGCACUUGCUUAGUAAGCAUGGGGCUCCCAUCCCUG
rnacentral:tRNA from 1 species